rnacentral:lncRNA from 1 species
CUCAUUCACAAUUCAGCUUUUCACGUGCACUCUUUCUCUGUAAGAAAUGCAGGGAAUGCAAUGUUGCAGCAUCCGUCUUCUGUCAGCCCUUUCUUAGAAUCAGCUGUUAAACAGACGAUGCACUCCAAAAAGGAAACUGUGUGCCUGAAACAGCUUUAUCCGGGAAGCAUGGAAUGAAGGUCUGUGGCAUGAAAUAUAUUGGAAAAAAUCAAUGGAGAAUUUCCCCAGAGAAACAGAAUAAAAUGGUUCUAAACUGUUGGAAAAUGAAAAAAUUCUCGAGCUGGGAGCUCCUAUGGUAAUAUUUGAGCAGCCUUGGAUAUGCAAACUCUCCUUCCUCUGAACAGAAAAGGAAGAUGCUGGGCUCUUCACAAGGAGGGAAGAAGGGAAGGAAAAAGAAGAGAAGGAAGGAAGAACUGGUCACAUCAUAUUUGGCUUCAGAGUCUCGAAAUAUUGUACAGUGGCUAAGAGGACCUAAGUGCUCACCAAGUGCAAAACAAGCCAGAAAACCUCCAAACACAGCAGGACAUCUUAGCACUGCAGAACUGUCCCCACCAUAA